CACACACACACACACACACACACACACACACACACACACACACACACACACACCUAGGAAAGAGGAAGUGUUCUGUAACUUUGCAAAAUGUGUUGUUUUUCUCUGCAGGUGAUGUUGGCUCUCCCUCCAUCACACUUUUGACAGGCCUCUCCAGUCAGGUUUCCUCAAGCUGUGGAAAACCUCUUUUACACGGCCUGUUGAUGACGUUGGUCUGCUGGAACCUCUUCAACCUUCUGCCUUAAACCUGCUGAACCACCCAAGGAGGACUUUACAGCCAAGUUCAACAUUUUAUUGAUUUGGCCUAUUUUUGUUCAAUAACACUGUAUUUUGUUAUAUACUGUAGUCGUGAAUAUUUAUUCAAAUUGUAUUCUUCGGCAUUCCUAUUUUUGUUGAACAAACACAAUGCUCUCAGUCAAUCCAAAAUGUUAUUGAACCUCAAACCUGAAUGUUUAACAAAGGAAAAGUGAGUUUUGUCUUUGUCAGGGAAAUAUAUAAGUGUUCACAAUUAUUAGGCAGCUAUUAGUGUGCACAAUUAAUAGGCAACUAAAUUACAAAAAUAAUUUCUCUCAA